rnacentral:snRNA from 1 species
AUCGCGUCGCGACCUUUUGGCUGUGAUCCAGUGUAGAACCUGUUCUGAUCAGUUUAAUAUCUGAGACAUCCUCUAUCCCAAGACAAUAUAUUAAAUGGAUUUCUGGAGCACGAAGAUGGAAUAGGAGCUUGCUCCGUCCACUCCAUGCAUCGACCUGGUAUUGCAGUGUUU